rnacentral:lncRNA from 1 species
CUUAGGGUUGGAGUAUAUUUUUACAACUAGGUUUUGAGACAGAAGAGUAGCAGUAGGCAAUAUUGUAAAACAAAACGUGGUGUCUUCGUGACUAUGUUAGAAGCCAAACCACUUCUAUCAAUCAAUGUGCAGAAAUAUUGGUAGAGGAAUCCAAAGUUACGAGGUAUGAUAUAUGUAAAUCUCCUUACGGUAACGUUUCAAGGGAAUUAGAUGAAGUGAUAUUAGUUAUAAUGAAUAGCUAAUGAUGGUGGGGUAAAUUAUUUAGCAAUGAUUGAUGAAAUCAUACAUGAUAUAUGAAAAGUUAAAAGCUAAUGCUAUGAAAUACUAAUCUGGAUGAAUUUUCGGUUGCCACUAUUUUAAAUGGGAAAUAUAUGAUUAAUUGAUCAUGUUGUAAAUUAUUGAAAAGUAACAAUUGUACUAGCAUAAGAAUUGUGUAAUGAUGAUUGAAUUUGAAAUGCUAUAACAAAAUAUAAUCAAUUUUGUUAGCCCGAGAAAAUUUUAUUCCGGAACGGUUGGGUCAUAUAUUGUUGCGGUAAUUUUUCUAAUGUGCAUGUGAUGUUAAUCGUGCACAGAUUUUUAUUAAUUGGACUGGGGUUGACUUUGAUUGUGACUCGUCCUAAGAUUAUGGAAAUUAUUCACCUAGACUAAUUAGGACGUGUUAUUCAAUGUUUUGGAAAGAUUGAGUCCAUUGGAGGCUAUUUGGUUGGUAUUCUAGACGUCGCAAUAUUGGGGAACUCCUUGUUAGUGAGGUAAGUGAGACUUUAAGCCUUGAUGCUUGCUUUUCCAAGACCCGUUUUGAAAGUAUAUUUUUUUUCUAUCCGGUCCAUGUAUUGGAACAAUCGUGCGCUUAGCAGAAUUAGUGGUCUUUGAUCAGCCGUAAAUAUAUAUUAUUUUGUAAAUAGAUGAAAUUAUUUAAUAGUGGCUUGUGGUGUAGUGUGAUGUGGCGUAGCCUCGUGCUAUGGCGUUGGGGCGUUACAAAUUAUUCUUCGCGGCCGUAACAUGUAUUGGGGCAUUGUGUAUGCUGCCGUUAAAGAUUUGGGGCAUUGUGUAUGCCGCCGUUGUAGAUUUGGGACAUUGUGUAUGCUGCCGUUUAUAAAAUUUGGGGCAUUGUGUAUGCCGCCGUUGUAAAUUUGGGGCAUUGUGUAUGCCGCCGUUAUAGAUUUGGGGCAUUGUGUAUGCCGCCGUUAUAGAUUUGGGGCAUUGUGUAUGCUGUCAUGGUAGAUUUGGGGUAUUGCGUAUACUGCCGUGGACUCGUUGAAGUGUUUGGUUAAUUUCCUGCACUGCCGUUAAUGACAAGUCCUUCUUGUAGAUUGUAUAGAAAUAUAUAUAGUAUUAUUGUUGAAUAAUUGUUUGGACCUUAUAGAGUAUAAUUAUAUGGUGAGAGAUUUUUGUGUAUAUUAUUUAUAUGCUCUUUGUGUGUUUUUUAUUUUCUAAUACUUGUUCCAAAGGUAUUCAGAGUGGUGGGUCAAGGAUCUUACUGGGUUAUAUUUACGUAUAACUCAUUCCUUACCUGCAUGUCCAUGCAGAUAUGAUUAGUGAAGACGGAGCUAGUAGCUGACGAGUUCGCUAGAGUUGAUUCAGUUAUUGAGGUGAGCCGCCGCAUUGUUAAUGGAGGCUGCUAACAGAGUCUUUAUCAUUGAUUCAUAUGAUGUCUGCUCCAUGGUCUAGUGUGAGAUUCGGGCUAAAGUUUCAGUAUAACAUUUUGAAAUAUUUAUUGUUCAGAAUUAAUUAUCAAAUUAUUUGGAUACUCAUUUAAUUAAUUAAGUGCUGCAAAUUAAUGGCUAAGGUAUGAAAGUAUUGUUCUCCUGGCGGGUGGUGUUGGCUGGGUGCCAGUCGCGUCUAGGGGAUAAUUUGGGAUGUGACAAAGUUGGUAUCAGAUCUUAGGCUUUAAGUCUCGGGUCAUGGAGCAGUGUUUCAUAGAGUCUUGUUCAUGGGUAUGUAGGCGCCCAUACUUAUGAUCAUGAGGCUACUGUAAGCACGUGANN